rnacentral:rRNA from 1 species
GACGAACGCUGGCGGCGUGCUUAACACAUGCAAGUCGAACGGAGUGCCUAUGACAGAGGUUUCGGCUAAUUGAUUAGGUUGCUUAGUGGCGGACUGGUGAGUAACGCGUGAGGAACCUGCCUUAAAGAGGGGGACAACAGUUGGAAACGACUGCUAAUACCGCAUAAGCCCACGGCCCGGCAUCGGGUUGAGGGAAAAGGAUUUAUUCGCUUCAGGAUAGACUCGCGUCCAAUUAGCUAGUUGGUGAGGUAACGGCCCACCAAGGCGACGAUUGGUAGCCGGACUGAGAGGUUGAACGGCCACAUUGGGACUGAGACACGGCCCAG